rnacentral:rRNA from 1 species
AGUGAACGCUGGCGGUAGGCCUAACACAUGCAAGUCGAACGGCAGCACAGUAAGAGCUUGCUCUUACGGGUGGCGAGUGGCGGACGGGUGAGGAAUACAUCGGAAUCUACUUUUUCGUGGGGGAUAACGUAGGGAAACUUACGCUAAUACCGCAUAUGACCUACGGGUGAAAGCAGGGGAUCUUCGGACCUUGCGCGAUUGAAUGAGCCGAUGUCGGAUUAGCUAGUUGGCGGGGUAAAGGCCCACCAAGGCGACGAUCCGUAGCUGGUCUGAGAGGAUGUUCAGCCAAACUGGAACUGAGACACGGUCAAGACUCCUACGGGAGGCAGCAGUGGGGAAUAUUGGACAAUGGGCGCAAGCCUGAUCCAGCCAUACCGCGUGGGUGAAGAAGGCCUUCGGGUUGUAAAGCCCUUUUGUUGGGAAAGAAAAGCAGCAGGUUAAUACCCCGCUGUUCUGACGGUACCCAAAGAAUAAGCACCGGCUAACUUCGUG